GAAAUGCGAUAAGUAAUGUGAAUUGCAGAAUUCAGUGAAUCAUCGAAUCUUUGAACGCACAUUGCGCCCUCUGGUAUUCCGGAGGGCAUGCCUGUUCGAGCGUCAUUUCAACCCUCAAGCUCUGCUUGGUAUUGGGCAACGUCCGCUGCCGGACGUGCCUUGAAGACCUCGGCGACGGCGUCCUAGCCUCGAGCGUAGUAGUAAAAUAUCUCGCUUUGGAGUGCUGGGCGACGGCCGCCGGACAAUCGACCUUCGGUCUAUUUUUCCAAGGUUGACCUCGGAUCAGGUAGGGAUACCCGCUGAACUUAA
rnacentral:misc_RNA from 2 species